rnacentral:tRNA from 1 species
UCCCUCGAGCCGGAUUUGAACCAGCGACCUAAGGAUCACCCAUGUAACAUCUACAGUCCUCCGCUCUGCCAACUGAGCUAUCGAGGG